UUGAUCCUGGCUCAGAUUGAACGCUGGCGGCAGGCCUAACACAUGCAAGUCGAGCGGUAACACAAGGGAGCUUGCUCCUGAGGUGACGAGCGGCGGACGGGUGAGUAAUGCCUAGGGAUCUGCCCAGUCGAGGGGGAUAACAGUUGGAAACGACUGCUAAUACCGCAUACGCCCUACGGGGGAAAGGAGGGGACCUUCGGGCCUUCCGCGAUUGGAUGAACCUAGGUGGGAUUAGCUAGUUGGUGAGGUAAUGGCUCACCAAGGCGACGAUCCCUAGCUGUUCUGAGAGGAUGAUCAACCACACUGGGACUGAGACA
rnacentral:rRNA from 1 species